GAUGGCUCAGAUGUAGAAGCUGGAAGAGAAACCUGAAAAAGAACAGCAGAGGAGGAAAAAGCAGAUGACAGAUCUUUUCAUCAACGCCAUGGUGCCGUCCCAUUCUUCAAGUUCUGUGUUGCUGUUACAUUGAAUCGUGUCUCUUCAGAUCAACACAGAUUUCCUGGAAAAUAAAAUCUUCAUUUAAAAAAAGCCUCUUCAGGUGGAUGCCACCAUUUUCAGUUGUGGCAAGGAACAGGAAGAGCAAUCAAUGGCUAUCUCCAUGGCUGACUCACCAGUCAACAUCCAGAAAUUGUCAGACAAGUGAUUUCAUCAUCUCAUGGUCCGAUACUUUCUUCACACAGUGCAGCUCCUAAGCAAGAGAGGAAUGACACCUCAAUCAAGCUGUUAGCAAAAUGUCAUGAGAGCAAAGAAAACAGAUGAAUCAUCGCCAAUGCCAUGAGGACGGGAACACGUCACCCCCGGCACAGCCUUCAGAGUUGUUCUCUGGUCAUGGAAAGUGUGCAGAAACCAGAAAAAUGUCCCCCUAGGAAAUGACAGCCAGGCACGGAGGUGUCUUUGAUUGACCUUGAUAAAUCUCUUACUUUGUGGGGUAUCUCCUUCAUCUUUGCCGAUGAAGAAGUAAGAUCUUCCUUUGUACCAGAGUUGAUGUGACCCAGGAUCACAGACUUCUACGAACAAAGCCCUCAGAGACCAAAGCAUAGAACAGAUGCCAGUUUAUUGGCUUGUAACAAGAACUGAUGUUGGGGAGAUAGGGCACUUAUCUACUGAAAGGUAAUAUUUUGGAUA